rnacentral:rRNA from 1 species
AUUGAACGCUGGCGGCAGGCCUAACUCAUGCAAGUCGAGCGAGCGGCGGACGGGUGAGUAAUGCCUGGGAAUUGCCCAGUCGAGGGGGAUAACAGAUGGAAACGACUGCUCAUAACGCAUACGGCUGGAUUGCCCAGGUGGGAUUAGCUAGUUGGUGAGGUAAUGGCUUACCACGGCGACGGUCCCUAGCUGGUCUGAGAGGUCGGUCAGCCACACUGGAACUGAGACACGGCCCAGACUCCUACGGGAGGCAGCAGUGGGGAAUAUUGCACAAUGGGGGAAAGCCUGAUGCAGCCAUGCCGCGUGUGUGAAGAAGGCCUUCGGGUUGUAAAGUACUUUCAGCGGGGAGGCGUUACUCGCAGAAGAAGCACCGGCUAACUCCGUGCCAGCCGCCGCGGUAAUUC